GUAAAUAGCUAAUUGCUGUAUUAGAAAUAAUAUAGAGGAAAGUCCGUGCUCACACAAGCUGUGAUGCUUGUAGUGUUUGUGUAUGUAUAAUUAAUAAAACAUAGCAUGAUGUGCUCAUGACGGCGGUUUUUAUUAAUUCCUAAUAUUUUUUAAAAUAAAGGAAUAAAACCAUAAAGUGCCACAGAGACGAGUAAUAGGGAAACCUAUGAGAUGAAACGCGGUAAACCCCACAAGUGAGAAACCUAAAUUUUGGUAAGGGAGUCUAAGUUAAACAAAACGAAGUUUACUUAGGAUAGAUUUAGAUCUAUAGAUAAAUAAUUAGCAUAACUAAAUAUCUAGUUAACAGAACACGGCUUAUCAUU
rnacentral:RNase_P_RNA from 1 species